AUGGGUGGAUGUACCCAGUUGAAAGAAGGCUAUAUACUGCGCUAUGUGAGGAAUAGGGCACGACCAGAAGGUUCGAUUGCUGAAGCAUAUGUUGCAGAUGAAUGCCUGACAUUUUGCUCCAAGUACAUGGAUGAUGUUGAAACAAUAUUUAAUCGGAACCCAAGAAAUAUAGGUUUUUCAGAUGAAGAAGCCUAUGGUGUUGAUGUUUUUGGACAUGGAGUUAAUUUUACUUCAGGAUAUGAUUAUGAAUAUGUACAUGCGGAAAAAGAAUUUGAUCAGAUGGUGUGGUAUGUGUUGAACAAUUGUGAUCAAGCUAAGAAAUAUAUCGAAAUAUUCAGAGAUGAGUUAAAGAGAAAAGGGGCGCCGGACAGUGAUAAGGAGCUUCAAAAAAAUAUUCCAACAUGGUUCAAGAACUAUAUGAUAAGGAUGCAGGAUGAGGUUGGUGAAGAGGUAGACGAAGAUCUCUUUGCCUUGGCAUGUGAUCCUGAUCGGAGAGUCCGGAAAUUCUCAUCAUGCAUAGUGAAUGGGAUUAGAUUUAGCACUGUUGAUCAUGAUAGCAACAAGAGAACGCAAAACAGUGGAGUCAUGACCGAAGGUGAACAUGGCCGUAAGCUCAUAAAUUUUUAUGGAACCUUGAAAUAG
rnacentral:rRNA from 1 species